CUGAGGUACGAAAGCGUGGGUAGCAAACAGGAUUAGAUACCCUGGUAGUCCACGCCGUAAACGAUGAGUGCUAGGUGUUAGGCCCUUUCCGGGGCUUAGUGCCGCAGCUAACGCAUUAAGCACUCCGCCUGGGGAGUACGACCGCAAGGUUGAAACUCAAAGGAAUUGACGGGGGCCCGCACAAGCAGUGGAGUAUGUGGUUUAAUUCGAAGCAACGCGAAGAACCUUACCAGGUCUUGACAUCCGAUGCAUAGCACAGAGAUGUGUGAAAUCCUUCGGGACAUCGAGACAGGUGGUGCAUGGUUGUCGUCAGCUCGUGUCGUGAGAUGUUGGGUUAAGUCCCGCAACGAGCGCAACCCUUGUGAUAUGUUACUAACAUUGAGUUGAGGACUCAUAUCAGACUGCCGGUGAUAAACCGGAGGAAGGUGGGGAUGACGUCAAAUCAUCAUGCCCCUUAUGACCUGGGCUACACACGUGCUACAAUGGUUGGUACAACGAGUCGCGAGUCGGUGACGGCAAGCAAAUCUCUUAAAGCCAAUCUCAGUUCGGAUUGUAGGCUGCAACUCGCCUACAUGAAGUCGGAAUCGCUAGUAAUCGCGGAUCAGCACGCCGCGGUGAAUACGUUCCCGGGCCUUGUACACACCGCCCGUCACACCACGAGAGUUUGUAACACCCGAAGUCGGUGAGGUAACCUUUUAGGAGCCAGCCGCCUAAGGUGGGAUAGAUGAUUGGGGUGAAGUCGUAACAAGGUAGCCGUAUCGGAAGGUGCGGCUG
rnacentral:rRNA from 1 species